rnacentral:rRNA from 1 species
GUUGUAUAGUCAAGUAAUUAAGUGCAUGUGGUGGAUGCCUUGGCAGUCAGAGGCGAUGAAAGACGUGAUAGCCUGCGAAAAGCUCCGGGGAGGCGGCAAAUAUCCUUUGAUCCGGAGAUGUCUGAAUGGGGGAACCCACCUACUUUAAGGUAGGUAUUGCAACAUGAAUACAUAGUGUUGCAAGGCGAACGAGGGGAAGUGAAACAUCUCAGUACCCUUAGGAAAAGAAAUCAAUUGAGAUUCCCUCAGUAGCGGCGAGCGAACGGGGAUCAGCCCAUUAAGUUAUGUGUGUUUUAGUGGAACGCUCUGGGAAGUGCGAACGUAGAGGGUGAUAUUCCCGUACACGAAAGGGCACACAUAAUGAUGACGAGUAGGGCGAGGCACGUGAAACCUUGUCUGAAUAUGGGGGGACCAUCCUCCAAGGCUAAAUACUCCUGACUGACCGAUAGUGAACCAGUACCGUGAGGGAAAGGCGAAAAGAACCCCUGUGAGGGGAGUGAAAUAGAUCCUGAAACCGCAUGCAUACAAGCAGUGGGAGCACCUUCGUGGUGUGACUGCGUACCUUUUGUAUAAUGGGUCAGCGACUUAUAUUCAGUAGCGAGGUUAACCGUAUAGGGGAGCCGUAGAGAAAUCGAGUCUUAAUAGGGCGUUUAGUUGCUGGGUAUAGACCCGAAACCAGGCGAUCUAUCCAUGAGCAGGUUGAAGGUUGGGUAACACUAACUGGAGGACCGAACCCACUGUCGUUGAAAAGCCAGGGGAUGACUUGUGGAUAGGGGUGAAAGGCUAAUCAAGCCUGGUGAUAGCUGGUUCUCCCCGAAAGCUAUUUAGGUAGCGCCUCGGACGAAUACCAUAGGGGGUAGAGCACUGUUUCGGCUAGGGGGUCAUCCCGACUUACCAAACCGAUGCAAACUCCGAAUACCUAUGAGUACUAUCCGGGAGACAGACUGCGGGUGCUAACGUCCGUAGUCAAGAGGAAAACAAUCCAGACCGCCAGCUAAGGCCCCAAAAUCAUAGUUAAGUGGGAAACGAUGUGGGAAGGCAUAGACAGCUAGGAGGUUGGCUUAGAAGCAGCCACCCUUUAAAGAAAGCGUAAUAGCUCACUAGUCGAGUCGGCCUGCGCGGAAGAUGUAACGGGGCUAAAACUAUGUGCCGAAGCUGCGGAUGUAUACUUUGUAUACGUGGUAGGGGAGCGUUCUGUAAGCCGAUGAAGGUGUGUUGAGAAGCAUGCUGGAGGUAUCAGAAGUGCGAAUGCUGACGUGAGUAACGACAAAACGGGUGAAAAACCCGUUCGCCGAAAGACCAAGGGUUCCAGUCCAACGUUAAUCGGGGCUGGGUGAGUCGACCCCUAAGGCGAGGCCGAAAGGCGUAGUCGAUGGGAAAAUGGUUAAUAUUCCAUUACUUCUGUGUAAUGCGAUGAGAGGACGGAGAAGGCUAAAUCAGCCUGGCGUUGGUUGUCCAGGUGAAAGGAUGUAGGCAUGUAUCUUAGGCAAAUCCGGGGUACUCUAUGCUGAGAUCUGAUAGCAAGCUGUACUUGUACAGCGAAGUGGUUGAUGCCAUGCUUCCAGGAAAAGUCUCUAAGCUUCAGUUACACAGGAAUCGUACCCGAAACCGACACAGGUGGUCAGGUCGAGUAGACCAAGGCGCUUGAGAGAACUCUGCUGAAGGAACUAGGCAAAAUGGUACCGUAACUUCGGGAGAAGGUACGCUGUUGUUGGUGAUGGAACUCGCUUCCUGAGCUGACGACAGCCGCAGAAACCAGGCCGCUGCAACUGUUUAUUAAAAACAUAGCACUCUGCAAACACGAAAGUGGACGUAUAGGGUGUGAUGCCUGCCCGGUGCUGGAAGGUUAAUUGAUGGGGUUAGCGUAAGCGAAGCUCUUGAUCGAAGCCCCAGUAAACGGCGGCCGUAACUAUAACGGUCCUAAGGUAGCGAAAUUCCUUGUCGGGUAAGUUCCGACCUGCACGAAUGGCAUAAUGAUGGCGGCGCUGUCUCCAGCAGAGGCUCAGUGAAAUCGAAAUCGCUGUGAAGAUGCAGUGUACCCGCGGCUAGACGGAAAGACCCCGUGAACCUUUACUGCAGCUUGACACUGAACUUUGACCUUACUUGUGUAGGAUAGGUGGGAGGCUUUGAAGCUGGAACGCUAGUUCCAGUGGAGCCGUCCUUGAAAUACCACCCUGGUAAUGUUGAGGUUCUAACUCUGUCCCGUGAUCCGGGACGAGGACCGUGUCUGGUGGGUAGUUUGACUGGGGCGGUCUCCUCCUAAAGAGUAACGGAGGAGUACGAAGGUGCGCUCAGCGUGGUCGGAAAUCACGCGUAGAGUAUAAAGGCAAAAGCGCGCUUAACUGCGAGACCCACAAGUCGAGCAGGUACGAAAGUAGGUCUUAGUGAUCCGGUGGCUCUGUAUGGAAGGGCCAUCGCUCAACGGAUAAAAGGUACUCUGGGGAUAACAGGCUGAUACCGCCCAAGAGUUCAUAUCGACGGCGGUGUUUGGCACCUCGAUGUCGGCUCAUCUCAUCCUGGGGCUGAAGCAGGUCCCAAGGGUAUGGCUGUUCGCCAUUUAAAGAGGUACGCGAGCUGGGUUUAGAACGUCGUGAGACAGUUCGGUCCCUAUCUACCGUGGGCGCUGGAAAUUUGAGAGGAUCUGCUCCUAGUACGAGAGGACCAGAGUGGACGAACCUCUGGUGUACCGGUUGUGACGCCAGUCGCAUCGCCGGGUAGCUAUGUUCGGAAGGGAUAACCGCUGAAAGCAUCUAAGCGGGAAGCCUACCUCAAGAUAAGAUUUCCCUAGGACUUUAUGUCCUCUAAAGAGCCGUUCGAGACUAGGACGUUGAUAGGUUGGAUGUGGAAGCAUAGUGAUAUGUGAAGCUGACCAAUACUAAUUGCUCGUGAGGCUUGACUAUACAACACCCAAGCAGUUG